rnacentral:rRNA from 1 species
ACGGGGCCCGCACAAGCAGCGGAGCGUGUGGUUUAAUUCGAUGCAACGCGAAGAACCUUACCAGGGUUUGACAUGCUUAAAGUAGGAACUCGAAAGAGGGACGACCCUGUAUCCAGUCAGGAGUUUGCACAGGUGCUGCAUGGCUGCCGUCAGCUCGUGCCGUGAGGUGUUAGGUUAAGUCCUGCAACGAGCGCAACCCUCGUCGCUAGUUGUUUCUCUAGCGAUACUGCCCGUAUAACGUGGAGGAAGGUGGGAUGACGUCAAGUCAGCAUGGCCCUUACAUCCUGGGCUACACACACGCUACAAUGGGUGAUACAACAGGUUGCAAUAGAGUAAUCUGGAGCCAAUCCCUAAAAUCAUCCUCAGUACGGAUUGCAGGCUGCAACUGCCUGCAUGAAGUUGGAGUUGCUAGUAAACGCAGGUCAGCACACUGCGUUGAAUACGUUCUCGGGCCUU